rnacentral:rRNA from 1 species
CCUACGGGUGGCUGCAGUGAGGAAUAUUGGUCAAUGGGCGGGAGCCUGAACCAGCCAAGCCGCGUGAGGGAAGAAGGUACAGCGUAUCGUAAACCUCUUUUGUCAGGGAACAAAGGCGGGGACUAGUCCCCGGAUGAGGGUACCUGAAGAAAAAGCAUCGGCUAACCCCGUGCCAGCAGCCGCGGUAAUACGGAGGAUGCGAGCGUUAUCCGGAUUUAUUGGGUUUACAGGGUGCGCAGGGGGCCUGUUAAGUCAGCGGUAAAAGCCCGGGGCUCAACCCCGGCGAGCCGUUGAAACUGGGGGGCUUGAGUGGGAGAGAAGGACGCGGAAUGCGCGGUGUAGCGGUGAAAUGCUUAGAUAGCGGGCAGAACCCCGAUGGCGAAGGCAGCGUACCGGUUCCACACUGACGCUGAGGCACGAAAGCGUGGGUAUCGAACAGGAUUAGAUACCCCUGUAGUC